rnacentral:rRNA from 1 species
UACAGAGGUCUCAAGCGUUGUUCGGAUUCAUUGGGCGUAAAGGGUGCGUAGGUGGCGCGCUAAGUCAGGUGUGAAAUCUCGGAGCUUAACUCCGAAACUGCAUUCGAUACUGCCGUGCUUGAGGACUGGAGAGGAGACUGGAAUUUACGGUGUAGCGGUGAAAUGCGUAGAUAUCGUAAGGAAGACCAGUGGCGAAGGCGGGUCUCUGGACAGUUCCUGACGCUGAGGCACGAAGGUCAGGGGAGCAAACGGG